UACGUAGGGGGCAAGCGUUGUCCGGAUUUAUUGGGCGUAAAGAGCUCGUAGGUGGUUCGGUAAGUCGGAUGUGAAAUCUCCAGGCUCAACCUGGAGGGGUCAUUCGAUACUGCCGUGACUAGAGGUCGGUAGGGGAGUGUGGAAUUCCUGGUGGAGCGGUGAAAUGCGCAGAUAUCGGAAGGAACACCGGUGGCGAAAGCGGCGCGCUGGACCUCUUCUGACGCUGAGGCGCGAAAGCCAGGGGAGCGAACGGG
rnacentral:rRNA from 1 species